UACGUAGGGCGCAAGCGUUGUCCGGAAUUAUUGGGCGUAAAGAGCUCGUAGGCGGUUUGUCGCGUCUGUCGUGAAAGCCCACGGCUUAACCGUGGGUCUGCGGUGGAUACGGGCAGACUAGAGGCAGGUAGGGGAGAAUGGAAUUCCCGGUGUAGCGGUGAAAUGCGCAGAUAUCGGGAGGAACACCGGUGGCGAAGGCGGUUCUCUGGGCCUGUACUGACGCUGAGGGGCGAAAGCGUGGGGAGCGAACAGG
rnacentral:rRNA from 1 species